rnacentral:rRNA from 1 species
AGCGAACGCUGGCGGCAGGCCUAACACAUGCAAGUCGAACGCCCCGCAAGGGGAGUGGCAGACGGGUGAGUAACGCGUGGGAACAUACCCUUCGGUUCGGAAUAACUCAGGGAAACUUGGGCUAAUACCGGAUACGUCCGUGAGGAGAAAGAUUUAUCGCCGAAGGAUUGGCCCGCGUAAGAUUAGCUAGUUGGUGAGGUAACGGCUCACCAAGGCUAUGAUCUUUAGCUGGUCUGAGAGGACGAUCAGCCACACUGGGACUGAGACACGGCCCAGACUCCUACGGGAGGCAGCAGGUGGGGAAUAUUGGACAAUGGGCGCAAGCCUGAUCCA